GUUGUUACAUUGAUAUUAUGAUACGAACUUUUGGUCGGUUUGGUGGCGAUAUUUUCAACAGCUGUAGAAGUACACCAUGGCGUCAGAAUAUCUUAAAAGUCGUAAAAGAUUUUGGGAAAGUGACAAUUCUUUAAAACGUCCUGAAAAUAAUCAAGUUCCAAUUCAGCUAAGUGAAUUAAUCAAAACGUUUCUGAAAUGUAUCCAAGAGGAAGGUUUGCAAACAGCUUACAAUCGUUACGGAUAUGAUCCACGGGAAACACAACCUCCAAGAUAUGUUGUCAAUGCUACUGAAGAUGAAAAAAUCAGUGACGUCAUUAUUGUUGGUGCAGGAAUGGCAGGUUUAAGUGCAGCGUAUGAAUUGAAAAAAGCUGGUCUUUCUGUGAAAAUUCUAGAGCAAACGGACCGUUAUGGGGGAAGAAUUUUUACGUAUGGUAAAGAGAGUGGUCUUGCGUCUGGUCUGUAUGCAGAAGUGGGGGCUAUGCGAUUUCCCGGUGAUGCUAAUGAUCAAUCAGACAGACCGCAUUUUUUGG